GAUGAACGCUGGCGGCGUGCCUAAUACAUGCAAGUCGAGCGAACGGACGAGAAGCUUGCUUCUCUGAUGUUAGCGGCGGACGGGUGAGUAACACGUGGAUAACCUACCUAUAAGACUGGGAUAACUUCGGGAAACCGGAGCUAAUACCGGAUAAUAUUUUGAACCGCAUGGUUCAAAAGUGAAAGACGGUCUUGCUGUCACUUAUAGAUGGAUCCGCGCUGCAUUAGCUAGUUGGUAAGGCAACGGCUUACCAAGGCAACGAUGCAUAGCCGACCUGAGGGGGUGAUCGGCCACACUGGAACUGAGACACGGUCCAGACUCCUACGGGAGGCAGCAGUAGGGAAUCUUCCGCAAUGGGCGAAAGCCUGACGGAGCAACGCCGCGUGAGUGAUGAAGGUCUUCGGAUCGUAAAACUCUGUUAUUAGGGAAGAACAUAUGUGUAAGUAACUGUGCACAUCUUGACGGUACCUAAUCAGAAAGCCACGGCUAACUACGUG
rnacentral:rRNA from 1 species